AGAGAUAAUUAGUUUCGGGGAAUUGUUCGUGGGAGAAAAUAUGACGACGGUAAAAAUGGUAAAUUUUAGCUAGUAAAAGGUAAUUUUUAUUCGGGUAUUAUUUUUCGGGGUAUUUUAUUUUUGGGUUUGGGUUGUUUAAAAGGAUGGACCGGUUUGGGGUGUGAGGCCCAAACCCAGUUUUUUUUUCCUUCUUUCUUUUUCUUCCUCUCUUCUUCCCGGUUUCCUCCCGAGCCUCUCCCCCGCCGGAAACUUCUCGCCGCUCGACCGCCGCCGUCCGGCCACCCCAGACCGCCGCACCGGUCCCGUUCGGUCGGCCAUCAACCCAGCAACCUUCUUGGACCGGUGACAGCUUACCUAGCGCCGCCGUGAGGGAGAUAUCGGGCCCGAGAGGUCCGACUGUGUUAGGAUUCACGUCGCCGGAACUCCCUCCUCCGGCCACCAAUCCGGGCAAGCUUGGUACGGUUUUGUAGCCCUCCAACCCAGCAGCCUUGCCCUAAAAGGACUCGCUCCCUCUUGAGCUAGGUAAGGAGAAAUUUGAGGUGGAAGUUUUAUGGCGUUUUUGAUGUUUUUAGUCGAUUACCCUAGUUAGGCUUGGAAUUGGUGUUUGUGCUAGUUAGGAAAGUUGUAGAGCAUGAUGAGAGGAUUAUUCUGUCAAAAUUUCAUAGGUUUUGGAGGUCGCCGGAAUUGGCCUCCUGCCGCCGCUGCCCGCGGCGCCGCCGCCGGUUAAGAGAUUUUUAGGGUUUUAAGUGUGGAAUAUUAAGAGGAGUAUAUUGAUGUGAUUUAUGGAAUUUUUGAAUGAGAUUUUGAUAGGUUCGUGAAUUUCCGAAGUUUGGUAUUUUUGGCGGUUAAUUAAUGCAGAAUCCGGCCGUAGGAUUUAAGUCGUAUUUUGGGGAGGUUGUAUUUACGACUGAUGAGUAUGAUAUUUAAGUUCGGAUUGUUCCGAUUUAAGAAUAUCGAAGUUAGGCAAUGAUGAGCGUAUUUAUGGCUCUCGGGUAAUUUUGCCUAUUUUGAUUAAAUAUUGGAUUUUUGGUUGGGAAAUUAAUACUAUAUUGGAACAGGACGUGAGGAGGCUCGAGCAGACGAGGCCCCAGAUCGACAUCAGGCUUAGGCCUAAUUUGUGAGUGGACGUUUAUUUUAAAUAAAUGCAUGCUAUAGUUCAUGGUUGAACAAUUAAUGUUGCGGAAUAUUUUAACGUCAUUUUAAAUUUGACGAUUUUUAUUUCUCUUGGAGAGUUACCGAAAAUGGGAUUUUCGGUGGAUAUAAAUAUGUAUUUAUGAGAGAGUAUGUAUAUAAAUGCUAGCUAGCCAUAUGUGUCUGUCCACCUUAAUGGCGUAGCAUAUAGCCGCAUUAUGGUGUGACGUGAGCGUUGGACGUAAGCGUAGUAGCCCUAUUUGAGUGUUUAA
rnacentral:lncRNA from 1 species